UGGGAGGGUGAUACUCGGGCAGCAGCCAGUCGUGCUCUGCCUGUCACUAACCUUCCCUAGAAUAACACUGCCUUCUGAUGACCGGGGUGACCUGAGGGAAAUCACAACGGACAGAUACGAGGCAGACACCU
ensembl:snoRNA SCARNA8 small Cajal body-specific RNA 8